ensembl:misc_RNA 7SK 7SK RNA
GGAUAUGAAGGUGAUCUGGCUGCAAAAUUGCAAAAUGUUAUGUUGAUCAUCAGGGUAGGUUGGCUGAUCUGGCUACCUCUGACAAUGUCCCCUGCCUUCUCUCAUUGGUCCAUUUGCAUCUUCCUGAAGCUGAAUACUUGCUCAAAGAGCCUGGCCUCUGAUAGAAGAAGACUAUUGUUUGGUCAACUAAAUAGGAAUAGUUGAGCUCCCCUGCUAGCAUAUCCUAACAAGUUCUCAAUGAAAAUGUUUUAAGGAUGCAAGGGAGUGAGAAACACCUCACCUCUAAAGAUCAGAAAUAGUCAUUGCAUCUUCAAGCAUGAAAAACUAU